CGAAAGCCUGUCCCAGUUCGGACUGGAGUCUGCAACCCGACUCCACGAAGUUGGAUUCGCUAGUAAUCGCGCAUCAGCCAUGGCGCGGUGAAUACGUUCCCGGGCCUUGUACACACCGCCCGUCAAGCCAUGGGAGCCGGGGGCGCCUGAAGUCCGGGACCGCGAGGACCGGCCUAGGGCGAAACUGGUAACUGGGGCUAAGUCGUAACAAGGUAAC
rnacentral:rRNA from 1 species